rnacentral:lncRNA from 1 species
GGAAAAAACAGCAAAGCAGUCAUAGCAACUAAAAUCAUUUGUUCAUGUCCUUCAAAACAAAUUUGCAUAAAACAGGAAGGUCCUAUUUUCAUAAACAAUGAACGAUGUAAAAGACUAUUCAGCCUGUUUAUGUCCACAGCUGCAGUGAAACAGGCUGCAAACAGAACAUGUAGACUCAAACUACAGGACAUCUGAGGUUUGUGCAUAACCCUUGUUUCAUUAAACAAAGAGGUCAUGCAUUUGUAUUCCUGUUCAUGCUCUCUAUGGUGGACUGGUCACGUUGAUAACAUCCUCCUGAAUGGGCCGAAUAAACACACAGAGAUAACACAGAUAACACUCAGCACACACUGGUUAAACUGACAGUUGCAGCCAUGAUCCCGAUGGGCCGCGGUUUGUGUCUUCCUUCUCCAGCCACCGUCCACCAGCUGUUCUCUGUGGCACGAGAUGCCAGCAUCAUCCCUGAUAUCUCCUUGGAUCCCGUCCUCACAACCUUCCUGUCACUGGACUCCUCAGCAGCACUGCAGCAUCGAUAUGGUUUCCUGCAGCGGGGUAUGAGCGGAGAGCAGCAAGCGGCGUUCAGACAGAGCCUGAUCGGAGAGCUGGGGGGCAGCAGGGUCACCUAUGGAGGAGUAGGGGUCAUUGCUCUGGCUCUGUCCAUGCUUUUUGACCAGGUUGCCCAACAUGUAGGCAAAGCUGUUCAGUUUUGUGUGUUUUUUGUAGAAAAAAAAAUCAAAAAUUGUUAUCUUAUCAGGUCCGAGUGCAAGGAUCAUCCACAGAGGGCCAUCUAUCAACGCAGGGACCCCAGGCCAUGAUGAUUUUUGGCAUCAGUACCUCUUCAAGAAUUGGCCAGCUAAUUAACAGCUACCUCCGCCUCAUUCCUGGCAUCGCCAACAACCAGGAGACAAUGGCCGAAACCACGGAGCUCUACGACAGUUUGCUGAAACUUGAACUGCUUGAUCAUUAUGAGAGGAUGAUUAACAAGAAGAGAAUGAGCUCAGUGUCCAUGCAGCAGUGGUUGGCAGGAGCAGCUUUUCACCUGCACCUGAGACUGCACCAGGUCCGUCUGAACUCUGUGCCUUUGGGAUCUGCUAAAUCACUGCGUUUUUCUUAUAAGACAGGACUGAAUCACCUGAUUCAGGGCUACGCAGCUUAUCUGCGCAGAAACAUACAGGAGACUGCAGCUCCAGGCCCACAUCACACUGCAAUCAAUGCAGCCAGUGGUCCAAAAGAAACCAGUGCAACCAAUACAACAUGCUCCAGCAGUGUCCUUUUUAAUAUCAGUUUGGUCAGUCCAAGUGUCUCGGCUGAUAUAUUCAAUGACUCUACCACACCCAAUUCAACUGCUGGAAGCUGUAAAACUCAUGGCUCCACAGAGGACGUUGGACUCAACGAAGACAGGAAGGGAAACAAUGACACCACUGUAGGUAUGAUAAAUAAAAACACACUCAAUAUUUCUGCUGGGCACAGCAGGAAGGAGGAAGAACACAUGUUAGUCAUCGAGCCUUGGAGAAACGUCAGUCACAACGUGCAGCACCAUCCCUGUGAGUCUUCGGCCAUUCAGCAAGCUCUGGUGACCCGCAUUAUCAACGCUCAGGACCUGGAGCGGAACAGAAACUUUUUCAUUUACCGAGAGAAAGCCUUCCAGAACCUCCUCAGACAGAGGGAGGACUUUGAGCUGAGGUCAAAUUAGAUCAUACAUCACAGGCAGAUCAUAUUCAUUGAUCAUGCACUUGUUGAAUUAAUGUAGAUGAAGUAUGGAUGUCCUCAGAUGUCACCUGGAGUCAGGUGAACCAUCUCCAGCUUAACACCUCAAAGACUAAGGAGCUGGUCAUCGACUUCAGGAAGUCCAGCCCACAGCCACGUCCAGUGACCGUCAGGGACGACGAGGUGGAGAUUGUAGGCAACUACAAGUACCUCGGGUUGUGGCUGGACAACAAGCUGGACUGGACAUGCUGUACAGAUCACCUGUACAAGAAGGGCCAGAGCCGACUGUACUUCCUGCGAAGACUGGGAGCCUUCAACAUCUGCAGGAAACUCCUGUGGAUGUUCUACCAGUCUGUGGUGGCCAGUACACUUUUUUAUGCUGUUGUCUGUUGGGGGGGUAACAUAAACAAAAGGUGUGCUAACAGGCUGGACAGACUUAUCAGGCGGGCCGGCUCUGUGGUCGGCAUGAAGCUGGACUCCCUGGUGACAGUGGCAGAGAGGAGAACACUAAGAAAACUCCUGGCUAUUGUGGACGAUGCCAGUCAUCCUCUGCACACUGUCAUCAGCGCUCAGAGGAGCCAGAACAGUCACAGGCUGCUCCUCCCCAAGAGCAGGACCAACAGACUCAGAGACUCCUUUGUGCCCCGAUCCAUCAAACUCUACAACUCUGCUUUUGGCAGGAGGGGGAGAAGGAAGGGAGGAGCACAGCCCGCCUGAUACAACACACGUGCAAUAAUUUACAUGUGCAAUAAUCCUGUACCAUUUAUGCUGCUGUGCAAUGUUUGUUUACAUUUACUGCACUAUACUACAUUACCAUUUAUGCUGCUGUGCAAAUUUUUUGUACACAAUUCCUUUACAUUACUGCACUAUAUCACAUGACAAUCUAUGCUGGUGUGCAAUGUUUGUAAAUAAUUCCUUUAUUUUUUACUGCAC